UACGAAGGGGGCUAGCGUUACUCGGAUUGACUGGGCGUAAAGGGCGCGUAGGCGGUUUGUACAGUCAGACGUGAAAUUCCUGGGCUCAACCUGGGGGCUGCGUUUGAUACGUGCGGACUUGAGUUCGGAAGAGGGUCGUGGAAUUCCCAGUGUAGAGGUGAAAUUCGUAGAUAUUGGGAAGAACACCGGUGGCGAAGGCGGCUUCCUGGACAAUUACUGACGCUGAGACGCGAAAGCGUGGGGAGCAAACAGG
rnacentral:rRNA from 1 species